rnacentral:lncRNA from 1 species
GUUUCAGUGCCCUGGAAACACCCCAUGGGUGCUCACUCCUCGGAACUAGAGACAGGCAGUGCCCAGGCAACAGAGGGCUUCAUUGUCAUCGCUGCCUUCUCUUGAGAACAUUUAACCCAGUGGCAGAGCGCCACUGCCUUCUCCCAGGGAUCCAGGAGCCUGCAAGCAGGCAGUGUUAUAUUACUCCUGGGUGGGAACAAAAUCAUGUGGGAGAGGACAGUCUUCGUGAGGAAGGUAACUAUUGGUCUAAGGAUCUGAUCACUGAGAGUGGUCAUUGGAUGGAUCUUCUGAAAUUAAGGAAAAGAGGAAAAUGAGCAAGUAUCUCAAAGAGGUAAAACAACACAAACAUGUAUGUACUACAUCCUAGGCCGGGAGUGUCUCCCAUUCUUCUGUGUACUAGUAAACUCAAGAUGUUAUAGUUGUAUCUGUUGAAGACAAAGUAGCAGAACCCAAAGUUCUGCAAAGACUAGAUUCAAGAAGUGAAAUACUGAAAAAAAGUUUUAAAAAGUCACAAAUGGUCUUUUGCUAAAUGGUGUAUUGGUUCGAAAUAUGAAUAAGUCUUUAUUAUUUCCCAAAUGAGAAAAGGUUACUUGUCUCCUCUGACUAGUUGCAUCAUACUAAUCAGAUGACUAGACUGAAAGCAGCUUGAUUUUUUUUUUUUUUGUAGUAAGCCAUGAGGAAGAGGUCAUUUCCCCUCCACAUAACUAUCUAAUUGACUCAGUGUGGGCAUAUUCACUUGUGUCUGACUCUUUGUGACCCUGUGGACUACAACCCUCCAGGCUCCUCUUUCCAUGGGGUUUCCCAGGCAAGAAUACUGGAAUGGGUUGCUUUUCCUUCUCCGGGGGAUCUUUCUGACCCAGGG